rnacentral:lncRNA from 1 species
CCUGAUAUCCCCCGAUUCAUGGGCCUUCGGUGUCGCUUUCGUACGAAUCCGAAAGGGUUACGGCAAUUCAGGAAAUAGCCGUACCAUCACAAACCAUUCCGACACUCUGCAGAGAGACUCUGAUGGGCGCUUCAGCUGAGCAGGUACGAAAGAACGCUGUGGGUCGUAUGCAACUCGUCCAUACAUACGACAUCAAACUUCUUAUAUAAAUAAACAGACAAUUGAAAAGCAAAAAAAAAAGCAAAAAAAAAAACAAACUCAAACCGAAGCGAACGUUAUCAUACGGUUACGAACAUGUCUUACAUGUUACUGUACGGGUAUAAAACGCGAACUCUAUAUUAAAAUAUGUACAUCGCAUUCAUUCAUGAACAAUAUUGCAUUACAUUUAUGCAUUGACUACAUACAUACAUACACACACACAUACAUACAUACAUACAUUAUUGCGUAUAUGCAUUACAAACAUUCGACACACCAUAUGCAGAAGAAAACAAAAGCAUUACACGCAUAUUCAUAAUGAUAAUAACAUUAAUUAAUAUCACACCGUGUAUAAAGAUGUAAACAUAUGUAUUUUAGAUUACCCUAUACUUAAACGCAUUAUUCUAUUGUCUUGAGAUGGUAUAGAUACAUGCAUACAUACAUACCUACAUAUAUUCAAGUCUGCAGGGUCUUUCAAAAUUAUAUUAUUCAUGUGUUCCAAACUGGUUGAGAGCAAUCAUUCAAUUGGACCAUGUAUUUACUACUUUUCAUCUACUCAAGCACAAUAUUUUCAAUUACUGCUGCGAUGUAAUAUGUAGUACCUACAAUGUGGUUCAAUUCCAUUUUAUUUACCUUUUAUUACAGAAUAUUCAGAUUUCAUGUGAUUUUGUUUCAAAAGUUUUCUUAAAUUCACAGAGCACUACUUGGACCUGCUUUUCACUCAGUUUGGAAUUAUUUUAUUUCUACAUUUUCUUUAGUUUUUGUGUUUUUUCUUCCUUCUGUGUUUCUCCUCUGGUUUUUUUUUUUUUUUUUUUUUCAGAGUCAAAGUACAAAUCAUACAAAUUUAUGAACUUGGAUUUUGAUUAUUGUUUAAUUUUGGUAACCGUUCAUUUUUGGAACACCCUGUAUGCGCUAGAGGUGGAAAAAACCAGACGAUAUUUCUAAGUAGAAGCGUACCAACAAGGGCAGAUUUUCUCGAAAUUCCUUUUUGCUUUCAUUACACUUCUCUUUUUUUUUCCCAUUUUAUUUUUCCGGUUUUAUUUUCUUCACAUUGUUGAAAUAUUUUUAUUUAUUUUUUUUUUUUUUCUUCGCGCAAAUUUGCAAAACUACUUGCAAAGCAUAUAAAUUGUAUAAGAGAAAAGUUAUCGUGUGAGCAGAUCCAUGUUUAGGGGAGCAUUUGAGGGUAAAUAUUGGAUAAAGAUGUUUAGAUAAGUAACAUGUUUACCCAAAAAUUUGAAAAUUUGUAGAUAGCAUGAGAAAAAAAAUAUUAAUUGUAUAAAUAAGGGUGGGGCAUUAAUUCAAGUAAGUGGUGUGCUAACUGUGAUAUUGCGGCGUUCACAGAUUAUAAUGUGAGAAAAAAACAAAUAAAAGUAAAAAAAAAAUAUAUAUAUAUAUAUACAGAUAACUGUGAUGCCGGAUGACGCGUUAUGUCAAUGCUUGGAACUGAUAUUUAUGGAGCUCCACUAGCCCACUGAACAUUGGUUUGCUCAGGGCGUGAGUCUUUUAGCCCUUAGACUUCUCAAUGGAAAACUGAUUGCAAUUUUCUCUAUUCUAGUUGAUGGAAAGAAAACUAUUAUAAUAUCUUUAUAUAUUAAAUAUUAUUUAUAAUUAUAUUAUACGAUAUAAUCACGCAAAUUUCUUAUUUACGGUAAUGACUACAAUGAGCAUCUGAUUUUAAUUUCUUUUCCUUUUAUUUUUUUCUUUUUUUUUUCUUUUUUUUUCAUUUUGUUUGAUUUUUAAAUUUGUCAGUAAAUGUUGAUCUAUAAUUUCGCCAUUUCUUUUAUUCCAUGGUAGUUUGGCAAAAUUCUUUUAGUUUAAUUGAUAUUGAUUAUGUAUCUUCUAUAAAAUCGUAUACGUAUGUAUAUAAAUAUAUUAUAUAUUUAUAUACAUUUGUGUCCGAUUUAUUCGAGUCUGAGUUAUUAGGUCAAAGAUGCAAUUCUGGGUUUUGCAAAAUUUGGUUCACAGUAUAGUUUUUAUUCUUUAGGGUGAAAUUUUUAAGGGUAUCUAUAGUAUCUGAUAUUCACACGGUACGAUACAUUGACUAUUUCCAAAUCUCGUUCACUACAUUCAAUCCUGUUACAAAAAUUGAUGAGUCAAAAGCAAUCAACCAACUAGCAAAUCAAAUCAGGCAGGUUAAUUUCCAGCAAUUUAUAAUGAUUGUAAAUUCACUCUUAUUCUCACUUUAGUCUCAUAAGGCUGAAGCUGGCAACCGGAGUUAGCAGCAAAAUUUAUUAAACUUUUUGGAAAUAGAAAAAUGCAGUUCAGUUUUAUACUUAUAAUUCUACAAAAGUAUUGGGGAUCCGAGAUAUUUCACAAAAUUUUGAUUUUUGGACUUCAUUACCUUAUGCGAAUAAAUAAUAAAACGUUUGGCUGUUAAUUCUGGUUGCUAGCUUCAGCCUCGUUUUAAUCUCAAUGAAUUAUUUGCAGGUCAGUGAAUGAAAUUAUUUGCUUUUUUAGCCUUGAAAUGGUACUAAUUUUGUCAUUUCAAUGAUUCACACGAUACCGAUGAAUUUAUGAUGAAUUGAAGUAUUUAAUUUCGUGUUAUUUAUCUUUCUUAGUUGCUGGGAAUUUACUUGACAUUGUGGAAAAAUGACUGUACCAAUUAUUUUGGAAUAAAUGUUGGUACAGUCAUUUCUUAUCCAAUUCUAUGAAUCACGAAAAGAAAGAAUAGCUGCACAAGAUUAUUUGGCUAAUUAAGACAAACGAUUUGUUCUCUGCUUCAAGUCGAUCAGAGACUUUAAUUCCCCCCACUAGUCGAAAGAAACGAAUAUUAUUGAUUUACCAUUGUGUAAAUAGCGAUGCAAACGAAUGCGCACGUCUGUCAACAAUUAACUAAAAUAAUGUAAUCAAAGAGAAGUAAUGAAAAGAGACAAUUUUUUAAAAAUUUCUAUUUUCACCGAAGUGAUUGCUAUGUCAAUGAGCGCAUCAGGUACACAAAGAAAGUGUUGGUAUCAACGAUAAUUUGGGGUUGAAUAUUGUUGCUCUAUUUCUUCGCUGCAAUGGUAUUGUUUUGUAAGCUGGUGAAUGAACAAUGAUGCUGUAACUAGUUAGCAAGUGAUACCUGACUCUGAUUAAGAAAUCGCAAAGUUUCAUAUUUUCGUUUCAAAUUAUUCCAGUAACAACUCAAAAUUGGCAAAAUAGAAUUAACACAUUAUUUAGAGAACUUUGUAAUUAUCUGCCGAUUAAUUCUUGAUAUGAGUGGGUCUCACCUUCUACCUACCAUUUGCUAGCUUCAGCAUCGUCAAUGAACAAGGAGUAUUAACUCUUAGACUGCCGUAAAGUCUAAAUAUAGUCUCUGCCGGCAGUCUAAAGGUUAAAACUGAGCAAAAUGAUACAAAGGAAACAAUUCUCACUAAACUGUAUAAUGUACUAAAAUUUGAACAAACGGUGUUCAAUGUGCAGGGACAGAUUUUGCCCACUGCAUGUGUAAUAGAAGUGAUUCUCAGGCCCCAUUGUUCAAUCGUACCCAACACUUGGUCCCCGAUAUACACUUGGCCAAGGUCUAUUGAAUCACGAUCAAAUGAGAAAAUUAGCUGUGAUGAUGACCCUAUAGGUACUACUAAUUUUUAAUUGAUAACAGAUCGAUUUAGUAACAAAAGUAAUUAAGUAUGUAUGUAUAAUGAUAAUAAUUUUAAUAUUUGGAUAUAAGGUGAUGAUGAUGAUUUCUGUGCGUGUUCUAAUCGCUAAAGGCGCACUACGGAGUGUGCGAAUGUUGAAAAGGAGAGUUUAAGCUGUAAUAAUGAACUAGCGGAUAAUAAUUGGCUGUAUUUAUGUGAAGGGAAGCUGGCAGACAAUUUUUACAUCACUGGUAAGCUUUCUUUUUCAUAAUUACAUCCAAAUUGCUAUAGGUUUAUAUGCAUUGGUAAGCUCUGGGCCAUUACACCAUACAAGUGCGACCACAAUAUUGGUUCCAAAAAAUAAUUACGAUGACAACAAGUGUUCAUUCUUAAUUUGCACAGAUAUAUUUAUCGAAACUUAUGAUCGAAUCGAUAUGAUUUACAAAUUAGUCAAACAGCUAUAACUUCAGUAGUCUUGGAUUCUCUUAUUUACUUAUUGGAUGGAAAUUUUUGAUUGGGUCAACAUAUAAAUUAUGCUCUUGCGUCAUUCUGAUGAGGUUCAAAAGGGGAUUCUUAACAACAUUAAAACUUAUUUAAACACUUGAUGUAGGAUCUGAGAAUUGUUGGACAUGGAUAUAAUGUGAGAGAUUAUACACGGACCAUGUAAAUCACAUUGAAUGCUGUUGUACUAUGUAUUAUAGCUACGUCUUUCAAACUUUCCUACAAUGAAUUUAAAUUAUUAAUUCAAGACUAUUGGUGUUUUUGUUUGAAAUCGAAUAAUUUUCCGUGAAUAAUAAAAGAAAAAAGGUAACAUGAAAUCGUAGGUCUAGCACUGUAACAAACUAAGGUCCAGUUUGCAAAGCCAAUAUUAAUGUGAUAUUGUGACGUACAAACAAUUCAUUGCAAUGAACUCGAAACUGCAGGAGAAUCACAAUCAACACGCCGUGAAUCUCUUGUUAAUUGUCACUAGCCCCUACUUCAAGCUGUAAUUUUUAGUAUUAUUGAGAAUGAAACGACGAAAGUGUUAAAAUGCAUCGAAAGUUUUUUGAUCUUUCAAGCAUACCAGAACCAAUAGUCAGAUUUAAUAUAUCUUUGAAUUAUUGAUCACUUUUCAAUGGGUACGAAUAUGUGGUAGAAAUUGAAUGUAAAUUUAUGAAGGCCGAAAAACAAAUCAAGUACUUUUUCGCUUGCAAAGUUCUGUUUUUAAUGACAUGAUUCGCAGACUUAUUUGCUAAAUUCAACCAUACCAGGUGCUGAGUUACCGUCAAAGUAGCACUGUAUAGUUUGAGCUAAUAACAAUCAGUCAUCGGCUGUUUGCGAUGAGACUGGUGCUAUUUUGCCGGUAACUUUGGCAUUAGCAUUAGCAAGUUAGUCCAUGAUUUCCAAUAUUAAUUAUAAUGUUUUAAAUGUUUUCCGAAACUAUGUCUUGAUUAUGUUACAGAAUCAUAGAAAUAUGGGUAGGUCAAAGCUGUAUUUACUUUAAAAACGGUGUGCUCAAUGGGGGUUUGUGACGAUACUACAAUAUCAUAUCAUUCUAAUCUAUAAACGUGUUUUGAGUUUAUAGUGGAAUGACGAAUAAGUGAUUGUUUUUUUUUUUUUUUUUCUCUCUCCAUUUCUCCUUUCUUUCAAUACCAACUUUACACAUACCUCUUGCAACUCUGUAUGUCGACUGUUGUCAACGACAAAAUUGCUUUGUUCUUUUUAAAUUUGUACCAGGGCUCAGAUUUUGAACAGCUUUAUUUUAAUGUAAUGUAUCGGAAACUGUGACCUGCGGAAGUAGACGAUUUGAGAAAAAAAUAUGAUUAGUUAUGGUGUAAUGAAAAUAGACGUGCUGAUUUCAAUUCGUGAGACUGGCGCGAUGAAUAACAAACAUUCGAUGUAUCUUCAUAAAUUAUAAAUUUGCAUAUCUAUGCGCAGCGACAAUUUGUUCAAGCGACAGUACUGUAUUCAUUACAUUAGGUGGAAAGACAAACCAAAGUCUAUGUUCAGUUUUGUACUCAUCAGCCGGUUAAACUCAAAACAUGUUUUCAUACAACCAAAAAAUAAAAAUAAAAUUCAAAUAUGAUACGAUCAGGAAUGCUGAUUUGCAAAACUGAAUGUGGGCCAACAUUCUCUCACAAUACACUGGUUAUUAUAUAAGCAUUAAAUUUAGGUUAAGUUUGAGGUAAAACUAUGGUUUUAGAUGCAGAACAACAUUUCCAACAAAAUGUAUUAAUAUAUAUGUAUAUGUAUCGAGGGUGUUGAAUGUUCCAAAACUGAAUUCUGAAAAUGACUCGUGUAUGCGUAAGAGAUUUUAUGGGAGGAAAAUCUUCGAAACAAUUUGGCCAUUCUAUAGUAUAUUUAUUUUUAACUACGUUUUUUCCUUGAAUUAGUAGUAUUUUAUUCGCUUUUAGAUUUUGUGUGCAAAUGCAUAGUUUAAAACGUUGCUGCGUUAAGGACAAGUCAACCAAAAUACCAGUUUUUAUUAGGCAUUACGUAUAAAAUAACUAAGUUUAUGUAAAUGGACAUGUCUAUGGUUAAUUGUAAGAUUGAGGAGCUUUAAGCAAAGUGGAACAAGGGUUUCUUGCCUGCUGCGCAAUAGGCAAUGUACUGAUUAUUUUAAUAAUUAAGAUUUGAUUGUGUAACAUAUAUAUAUAUAAUAUCUAUAUAUACAUUGAAAUAUAUAUUAUAUAUAUUUACAUACAUGUUAUAUCGCGUUCUUGUGUGAAGACGUUAUCUUGAAACAUUUAGAGAAUAUAUCCAAAAAAAUACAGUAAAAAUAUAGAUGAGUCAUAGCUUACAUUACGAAUUUAAUAUGGUUCAUUCUGUGCUAUAUACAUAAGUACAUACAACACUUAGCUAAGUUUUUUUAACAGAUUAUUACACGAUUAAACCAUUUUUGUUAUUAUGGUUUUUUCCCCCCUUAAGAAAACGUCAUUGUACAGAGCAUUGUUUGAGUAAGCGUUGUAAAAAGUGAAAUGAAUAGGAAAGAAAGAAAGUUCAUUUUUCCCAUGGGAAUAAUACAGUCGUAACAUAUUUGAAGUCAGUUUAUAUUGCAACCUUUUGUUUUGAACUCAUAUCUUCUGUGACUGUUUAUUUUUAAUCACGGUCUUUAUGUCGAAGUACUUGGGUAUUAAACGAACAAAAUUCUGUAUGUAUUAUAUAUAUAUAUAUAUAUAUAUAUAUGUAUGUAUGCGUAUACACGUGGAUUUGUAAAACCAAAUUUGUAAAGCAAGAUUAUCGAGACAAGAACCUGCAAGGAAGAAAAAAAAAAAUAACGAAGAAAAGCAAAACAUGGAAUGAGUACACGAGUGAUAAAAAUGCUCAUGGAGAGGUUUGUUAUGCGUAAGUAUGCGAGCCCCUAGCGCAUCGGAUUGUUUUGAGAGUAAAACAGUACUUCUGUGUUUGCGCCGCCCAUGCUUUACAUGGAUAUUUUAAAGUCUGCGUUUUGAGCAUACAUUUGAUUUGAUACACCAUUCGUUUAAUCAAAUCUACAUUGGAAUACCACAAGCUUUCUAAUAAACUGCAAUAUUGGAUGACUUGACUAGGAAUAUCCAGAUUUCGUCAAUAUGGACUUCAAAACAUCAAGAACAUUAACGAAAAUUCUUAUGUUGUACCUUACGUAACAAUAUUUACAUUGAAGAAUUGAAUUAUGCAUGAAGAUGAAUGAAGAAUAUCCUUUGUACAAUUGGAAUACCAUCUCAAAAAUUUGUAAACUUAGCUAUUCAAAAGAUCAUUCACCGAAACUGACCCGUCAUGUUUUAGAACAGUUUUAUAAAGGUAGGAUGUAUUUCUACCAUUUAGUUGAAUUCUGCAACGGUGAAUAAAUAUCAAUAAAAGUCAUAAGAGAAAGUUGUAUCAUAGACGUAAGACAAUGUUUUGUACAAGACUGCUGAACCAAAAGUAUUUUUACCAGAAAAAUUGGAAAAUAGAAUGAAUACUCCCUGGAAGUUUAAAGAUAGGAAAUAUUUUAUAAUAUAAAUAAUACUAAAAUCUAAGUAUUUCAUUGAUAUGCCACAACGUUCCACACACUGCCAUAAAGCAGCAGGCAGGCAAGACAGAUCUACAGCACGUUUUAAUCAACGCGAAGUGUAACACACAGUGCAUUUAAGAAAUCAUAUACAAAAUUAUUCAUCAUUUUCAACGAAUCAUCUCGAAGAAUGAAGUGGAUUGGAGAGUGGAUAGAUUACGAGAGACAAUUUCCAGAAUUCAGCAUUGAACCAAGAAGUGUGAUCCAAAAAGCUGUAAUUUGAGGAUCCAUGGGUUACAACGUGAGGCACCUGAUGUAUUUCUGUAAAAUAUAUGUGAAAAAAAGAGGAAGGAAAGAAGUGAAAAACAAGAGUGUUUAACGAAAUCAAUAUGCGCCUAGAUUCGUGGGAUUCGCAAACAUAUAUAAAAAAAGCAGUCCCACGUCUAAAAGUGUUCACACUGAACACUUUUCAAAAGGCCACUUACGAUGACACUUUCUAAGAAAAAUACAGAAAAAAUGGCUUUGAAAGCAACAAAAAAAUAAAAAUAAAAAAAAUUGUAAAAUAAGAAAUGUGUAAUAGGUCAAGUGAACCAUCAAAAGCAGCAAGUGUCUUCCAUCGACGUGCAAUAUUAAAUCAUUAUUCCACAAAAUUCAAGUUACUGCUCUACAACUUGCUGCUGUCAUGUAACUGAAACUACCGUAAAUGGAAAACCACUCAAGUUUUGCAGUAUACUCAAAAAUCGUUGAACAUCGCUGAUCAAAAAAUUAUACGUACUUGAAAUCGCAGUGCGAUAUGUGAUAUGUGAAUGCUAUAUGAGCAUUGAUCUUGAAUCAAUGGUAUUGUAAAAAAAAUACAAUGAUAAAGCAAAUUAUUCGGAAGACCCAAACUAAAACCUACACAAAUCCAAAAUAAUCUUUCAUUUUAAAACUGCGUUAAAUCUCUGAGAGGAUGACAUUUAAGAAAAAAAAUGUUACAUCACACAUUUUGGAAAAAUAAGCAUAAGUUUUUACGAAUAUCUACAUGUGAAAAUGAAACAUCGAACACUCCUCCCUUCACCAUUUACGACAAAUGUGAUGUUGAAGAUGGAGCAACUGCAUUUUGAAGAUUCAUUAAUUAUACAUCCCGCCAUGAGAUACAUGAUUCAUAGAUACAAAAACAAUCUGAUUACCCAAAGACAAAUCACAUUUUUACAAUAUCUGCCUAGUACCUAUUAUCACUUAACCAAAUAACUGAUAACCACAUUGUUCAUUACAAGCAUCCACUACAAAUAUUCUAAACCCCCCUCCCCGAAAAUUUCCCAAAACUAUCGAAAAAUUGUAAAACCCAUUUAAGUUUGGAACCUUUGUUAUUUCACUUAUCCCAUGAAAUCCCUCUGCAUCCUAUUUCCUUCAGGGCCCUUUUCAGGGCCCGCAAAUGAUUCUAUGCAAAGAACAAUCGCAACUAUCACGUUGUGUGACCCGCACAUAAGUGCAAAAUCUGUCCUUUUAAGGACAAUUCUACACAUCUGUUUGGAAUACACAAACGAAAUUCAUCCAAUUUUGGACUUCAUGUGAAGGAAGAGAGGCAACGCUGAAGGAAGACUAACCGAUGGCCUGGUGUUUUCUUGUCUAACAAUAAAAACUUGUCGAACUUGAGACCUGGUCCACAAAACUUUACUUCAACCGAGUGGUAAAGUAUAAAAUUUUCACCGUGGAAUAUCAAAGGUAAUGUAUUUUUUGAAAGCUAUGGAGAUAAAAAUGAUAAAAUUUUGGACAUUUCAUGUCGGUUCAGUUAGUACAAGAAAAAGUUUGACAACAAGGUUUUUAGCUGUUGGUGAAAUCUGGGAAACUGGGAAUUGUCAGGGAAUUUGUACGCAUCUAUAAAACCGGAAAAUUUCGCGGAAUUUGGAUAUGUGUCCUAAAAUUUUUGUAUUUUUUCCACGCUAGUGUACAAUUCUUUGAAAUGUAGAAAAUUACUCUCCUUGAGACAAGUGAGAUGGUUAGUGUGAAAAGGGUAUGAUAAAAAAUAUCGCCUUUGGAUGAAUUUUAAGCAUUGAUAAAUUGAUGCUGAGCACUAUGUAAAAUUUAUGAAAAAUAUAACCAAGUACUAAAAACAAUUAAUACCCUCAGAUUGGUGUUUCUACCUUCAUGUUUCGAAAGAAGGGCGCAUCCUAAUCUUCCGUUAGUUUCUUAAAAUUGGAGUAUUUAUCGAUAUAAUUGCAUAGGGAGUUGGAACCUGUUUGAAACUUCCAGUUCCUACUACAUACAUCGUCAGUGGCUACAAGAAGACUCGUAUACAGCAGAGAAUGUGUGGACUUUGCAAGCAGCUGAGCCAUUGCGAAACGACGCAAAACUUGGAUCUACGUGUAUGCUUUUCGCAUAUAAAAUGGUUGUAAAUAUAUUUGGUCAGAGCAAUAAGAGUAAAUGUUUUUAUAAAUACAUUCAGAAACAAAAAAUAUACGAUGGUAAUAAAUUCACCCAAAACUUGA